rnacentral:tRNA from 1 species
GAGGGCAGAGCUGAGUGGCAGAGCACGUGCUUAGCAUGCAUGAUGUCCUGGGUUCAAUCCCCAGAACCUCCA